rnacentral:rRNA from 1 species
CCUACGGGGGGCUGCAGUGGGGAAUAUUGCGCAAUGGGGGAAACCCUGACGCAGCGACGCCGCGUGAGCGAAGAAGGCCUUAGGGUUGUAAAGCUCUGUUUUAGGGGACGAAUGUCGUGGGGAGUAAUAUGACCUACGAAUGACGGUACCCUAAGAGGAAGCCCCGGCUAACUACGUGCCAGCAGCCGCGGUAAGACGUAGGGGGCGAGCGUUGUCCGGAAUUACUGGGCGUAAAGAGCACGUAGGCGGGAACCUAAGUCAGGUGUGAAAGACCGUGGCUCAACCACGGGGUGGCAUUUGAAACUGGGUUUCUUGAGGGCAGGAGAGGAAAGCAGAAUUCCUGGUGUAGCGGUGAAAUGCGUAGAAAUCAGGAGGAAUACCAGUGGCGAAGGCGGCUUUCUGGACUGACCCUGACGCUGAGGUGCGAAAGCGUGGGUAGCAAACAGGAUUAGAUACCCUAGUAGUC